CCUACGGGAGGCAGCAGUGGGGAAUAUUGGGCAAUGGAGGAAACUCUGACCCAGCAAUGCCGCGUGAAUGAAGAAGGUCUUCGGAUUGUAAAGUUCUUUAGUCAGGGAAGAAGUCAAUGACGGUACCUGAAGAAUAAGCUCAGGCUAACUACGUGCCAGCAGGCGCGUGAAUGCGUAGGGAGCAAGCGUUGUUCGGAAUGACUGGGCGGAAAGGGUGCGUAGGCGGUGGUACAAGUUAGAAGGGAAAUACCCAGGGCUUAACUCGGGUGCUGCUUCUAAAACUGUAUGACUUGAGUGCAGUAGAGGUAAGUGGAAUUCCUAGUGUAGCGGUGAAAUGCGUAGAUAUUAGGAGGAACACCAGAGGCGAAGGCGGCUAACUGGACUGCAACUGACGCUGAGGCACGAAAGUGUGGGGAGCAAACAGGAUUAGAUACCCGAGUAGUC
rnacentral:rRNA from 1 species